AGAAACACAGCCUGUGUUUGGGACCUGAGCCAGAGAGAUGAACCAAGGAAACAUGCCCUGACUCUGAAACCUGUACCAAAGGAACACUCUUGGCCCCUAGAAUCAGAGUCAGUGUGGCCUGGCCUUAGAGGUAGUGUCAAAAAGCUAAGUAAAGUCAGUGAGAGAAACACAGUUUAGCUCAGAUCAGAGCCAUCUCUGUUCCUGUCCAACUGACUUGUGAAACCAACCAAUCACGGAGCAGCAUAGUAGAACCCUGGGCCCAUGGUUGACUCCACCCCCUAGACUUCCUGUGAAAAACCGCCCUGCCUAGUCAGUUAAAAAGGGAGCCUGUUCUCUCCCCCUGGUAGAGGCAGCUACUCUCCUGGACUCCUCCUUCCCAAAUAAACUUCUUCCUCAAAAGAGCUUUUUGGGUGUGAAGAUCUUCAUUCAUUGGCUUAGAGAAGAUCCUUGCUGAGAUGUCCCCAGAUGGAUGAGAGAAAGCUGAAAGAGCAGGGCAAGGAGGAGCUGAACAGAAGUUCUUUGCUAAGACAUCGCUCAGUGGACAGAGAGAACUAUAAGUAACACUUUUCUCUGGAGCAGGAGGAGAUUGCUACAUUUCUGCAGGGGUUUCCCCUUUCACAGAGUGAAGCAAAAGAAGCAACAUCUUAGGAAGCAGAGCUCUGCUAAGAAGUCCCCUUAUGCUCAGCUGUAGAGACUCUGAAGGAGAGUAGCAGGAUUGCUAUAUCCUACAGGGAGACCAUCCUCCAUCACACCAGAGAAUGAAACAAGAAAUUUCAGCUCAGAGAACAUCAGGAACUUGCCUAAGCCUGUCACCUUCAAAGUUGAAAAGAAGUCUCAUCGGUUUUAAAUAAUCUGCUCUCGGUUAUCUAUAUUCAUUUCCGCACUCGUCUUCUCCAUACUCCAUCAGCAGGGGAUUAAAUUCUUCCACUUGCCUAUGUUCUCGGCUCUGCCUGGCAUGAGAGUACAUGCCUAUAGCCCCGGAAGGAGAAGUAGAGGCAAGAGGAUCAGAAGUUGAAGGUAAUCAUUAGUUACAGAGGAAGUUCAAGCCAGGCUAUGCAAGGCUCUCUCAAAGACUCAGACAACCACAACAAAACAAAACACACAGUCUUCCCACUGGA